CAGGAGUUUGAAAGAAGGUUGUAUUCAGCACCGAUGACAAGAGGACCUUCACUGACCUUUAGCAAUAGGCACCUGACCAGACCCACUCAAAGAAGGAAGUAGAUUCACCUUGAACCUGGGCGUUUCGUUCAGACCUCCUCUGAGUCCUCAGAUGAAGCAACCAGCUAAUGAAUGUCUUGAUAAGUCAGUAACUGAGAUUUGAAGCUACGUGUCACCCCGAUGCUCUGGGGAAGUGAGGGGGGAUGUACAGCAGGUGGUGACUGAGGCUGGCCUGGAGGUUCCUGCCCUGGGGGCAGCUCAGGGUCCUCCCUGGUUUGUGACCCAGCCUGGCUGAGGCAAGAAACAUGCCCAGAGAGCCUGUCUCCCCAGCUUGAAUGUGAGCACCUCCAAAUCAGGGCCCUAUCUCCCUGCUCUCUGGAUCUGCCAGCUCCCAGUGUGGGGUACAGUCUAUGUUUAAAGGAAGCAACAAACACUACAAUUUUUCCCUUUUCUUCAUGGGGUCUUCCUAUGUGAAAUGACACCUUUGAUGGCACAGAGCUUGUCACAGUCAAUAAAGCUUUCCUCAUCUAUUAUCUGGAGACCACCUGCCACCCAGGAUUCUCUGUUCCUCCCCACUGAUGGCACCCUAAGUGGUCACCUAGUCCGACCACUUCUUCCUUUACGGUUGGACUUCCCUGCUCCUUCUGCU